GUUAUGGUAGUUUAACAAAACAUUAGCUUGUGAUACUAAAAAUGGAAUCUACUCCCCAUAAC
rnacentral:tRNA from 1 species